rnacentral:ribozyme from 13 species
AGAAGAAGAGAAAGAGAAAGAGAAGAAAGGAGAGGAGAAAAGACUUCAAGAGAUAUGUCAAUCGGUAUUUCCGUCUGCCAUUUCUCCUUCUCUUUGUAUGGUUUUUUGGUCUUUAUCUCUUUAUGAUGUUUUUCUUCCUGAAGAACGAUAUGAAGAAGAACUUUCAAGGCUGAAAGGACAACAAGAACGUCUCAAAGAUAAAGAGCUUGAACA